rnacentral:tRNA from 1 species
GGGCAGGUGGCGGAGUGGUCGAACGUGGCGGUCUCGAAAACCGUUGAACCGAGAGGUUCCCAGGGUUCGAAUCCCUGUCUGCCCGCCA